GGCGGCCGGCGGCCGGCCACCAUGCGCGGUGGUUCCGGCAGUGGCUCCGGUGGGCUAUGGAGAUGAUUCAACUUCCAGAGGCUUCCUCAUAAAUUUUUGAAAUUUUUGAGACACAGAUAAACUUCGGGUGAUCGAUGUCAGCUAUUUUCCUGCAUCCAGUAGCCACAAUAAUCAUCGGUGUACUGCCACAGGAGGAGUUAUUUUACAGAGCAACCUGUUUUCUUCCUCGCAGGUUUAACGUCGAUUAUUUAAUUGUUUUACUAUUUUUUCUAAAGUUAAAAUCUAGAACUCCGCAUGUGUUAGUAAUAGUGUGGACCUUGUUAGA